rnacentral:sRNA from 1 species
UAUGAGACAGGAUCAAGAACGAGCAGAAUGUGGACAAGGCAAAGGGCAAGGCAAGAGAGCAAGCGAGAGUCUGAGGGAACGGGAACGGGCACUAGACUCUGCUCUGGAAAAAUAUUUUGUUCAUUAAUGUGGCACCCCGCCCCAAACGAGCCGUAGAUGGAAAGCGACUAGAGAAAGAGGGCACAACAAAAGAGAGAGAGAGAGGGAGAAGAAAACUUGUGCACGACUUGAGGCUGCGCUGGGAGUGCUAUGAAAAUUAGUUUGAGCUGAAAGGUAUAACCAAAGUAAAAAUAAAUAAGCAGCAAAAAAA